GGGACAGACCUCUUGAAAGUAAAAGGCAGUUUCUCCAGGUUGUCCUGAUGGAAGGGUUUGAUUUUCAUGCAAAUAACAGAUUUAAUCAGCCAGAAUUCUCUUAACAACUUUCAGAAGGAUUAUGCUAAUUUACUGCUUUAAAAUCCGAGGUCUGUGGCAGACUUGCAGGUCUACAGAAUAUUUGUUUUUUAUCAUUUAUAAAAUCUUCCUCUGUGAAAUUACCAUGCAAACUAAGCUACAUUGGGAAGUAUUAGCUUUUCUCUCUACAAGGCCAUGCUAUGAGCCUGCCUCUCUCACACAUAUGAAAGAGCCACUCUGUGUUUCUCUAUAUUUAGAGGCUGAUAUACCUGUAGCUUAUUGGACUGCACAUUCGUUUCAAACUCUAGUACCACUGUGAAGAGCUUGUAGCAGAAGUUGCAGAUGCCUCACUACCAUCUUUAUAUGAUGCAUGGAAAUUUUUGUGUAAACUUGGCAAAAGUUUACAACAGGCAAACCAGAUGAAACCCAACAGAAUACCUUGGUUUCCAAAUGGAAAACAAACGUUAGUUGGCCUAACACUGCAUACUGAUUCCCACUCCCCAGGCAGUCAUUGGAUUAAAAAAUAAAAGUAGAAGCAGUCAGGAGAGUGGGAACAGGAACCAUCUCCCAGCCAAAAUGGUGAGGCAUGGCUUGCUCUUACUUCGCCACAUGCGUCUUGCAUUUGGUCCAGCUACAACAGGCAGCACGAGAGAUGCCCCACUCAAAACCCUAGUUAGUAAAUCUCUCUCUCUUCAGAAACAAGAUCCAAAUGUCUUCUAAGGCAGCAGAGGUAACUGAAGAGAAACCUGCCAGGUUUAGCUUCAGGCAAUACGUAAUUCUAGAAAAAGAAGCUGUUCCCAUAAUUCCCAAGACAGCUAGUUAUUUGUAUCCAGAUGUUCAACUGAAGCACUAAGAUACACUGAACAGUAAGUUCUUGGCUGACUUACCACCUGGCACUGAGCCAGGCACUCACUGCUCUUUGAUUUUUCUCUAGUUACUUGGAGAAUUUAGGAUGAAGCAGGGAGGCACCUAUUGAAGUGGGGCACUUGCUGGGGAAGGAGGAGCUCACUGAAGGAUGCAUCUCAGCAGGCACCUCACUUCUGCUGACAUCUCGAGAUGACACUGUGCUUUGUGGGAGCUUCAUGCACUAAUUCCUCUGCCACUACAGCAAAGAGUAUACCAGCCUCAGAGCAGGAGUGCUGAAUAAGUUUGUUGGGGAUCUAAGCAUUAGUUCCCCACUUAAAUUAAGGAAAUAAAACCUGAUGGGAUACAAUUAGAUAGUACUGUUAUUUUCCCCUGUGUCCAGGUCUUAAGAAUAAACUGAUUACAACCUAUAUGUGCUCUAAAUAGGCUAUCCAGGACUACAGGGACAGCCUGGAAUACCGGCUCCGCCAGGAAGCAAAGGAGAAAGUGGACAAACAGGUGUGAGUGGAGACAUUGGCCCAAAAGGAAGUAGAGGUGAUCCUGGAUUACCAGGGAGACCUGGCGUUCCUGGGUACUCUGGGCCAAAAGGUCGUAAGGGUGAGCAAGGUGUCAUCGGCUUUAUGGGCCCAGUAGGAUUUCCAGGUGAUUUGGGACCUAUCGGACCCAAGGGGGAUAGAGGACUGACUGGUAAGUGCAAUCAGGUGCAUGAUUCCUUUCUAAACUACUCAUUUUGCAGCUCCACAGAGCUGAUCUAACUGGCCUUGCUUUGAGUGGGAGGUUGGGCCAGAUGACCUCCAGAGUCUUCUACAACCUGCAUGACUCUGUGUGACCCCUGGCAAAUUCCAGUGGGCAGAUGCCUGAACUUAACAUGAGUAGCCAACUUUUUGCCUUUAUCAAUUUAUUUUGUAUGAGGGACCAGCUCCAAAAUCACAGCCUCUUUCAGGGUUAAAAAACAGAAGAAUUCCUGAUC
rnacentral:lncRNA from 1 species